GCAGCAUGUCAAAAAGGUUGCAGCUGGAGCCAUCCACGCCAAAUACAACCAUUUCUCCUAUCCAAACACCUAGCCCGAUGAUAAGGGGCCGCAAGAGGAUGCUGGAAUAUGAAGGCUCCAUACAGCCUAUUACCUGCUUAGCUCUAUCUCCGGUGCGUGUCGAUGAGAAGGGAAAGGCAAAGAAGCUGAAGGUAGUUAGGUCCAAGAAAAUGAAAAUGUAGGUUAUGUACUAUGUUGUUGUUCGGUUGUGGCAUUUUAAUGUGGGCACUUGCUACUAUCAGGAUUGCCAAAUGUGGCUCAAACAUCUAUUUUGGUUUGCUGCACUUCUAAGUCCUUUUUCUUUCACCAUGCUGUGUUGUAAGGGUGAAUUCCAUAGCUAAAUGUGGCUGAAACCUGCUAUUUUGUAUUUGUGACCUGCAUGCUGAAAUGUCUAAUGAAAAACCUGUUAUAUUGGCCC